UACGGAGGGAGCUAGCGUUGUUCGGAAUUACUGGGCGUAAAGCGCGCGUAGGCGGCUUUGUAAGUUAGAGGUGAAAGCCCGGGGCUCAACCCCGGAACUGGCCUUUAAGACUGCAUCGCUUGAAUCCAGGAGAGGUGAGUGGAAUUCCGGAGUGUAGAGGUGAAAUUCGUAGAUAUUCGCAAGAACACCAGUGGCGAAAGGCGGCUCACUGGCCCGGUACUGACGCUGAGGCACGAAAGCGUGGGGAGCAAACAGGG
rnacentral:rRNA from 1 species